rnacentral:rRNA from 1 species
CGUAGGCGGCCAUGUAAGUCAGAUGUGAAAGCCCGGGGCUCAACCCCGGAAGUGCAUUUGAUACUGCAUGGCUUGAGUAUGGGAGAGGGAAGUGGAAUUCCUGGUGUAGAGGUGAAAUUCGUAGAUAUCAGGAGGAACACCGGUGGCGAAGGCGACUUCCUGGACCAAUACUGACGCUGAGGCGCGAAGGCGUGGGUAGCAAACA